CUCAAUAUUUUUUAUUGGAUUAUGUAAAUUCAGAAAGUCAGUAAAAGUACAUUUCUCAAUUCUCACCACCAUUAUUAACACAUUUGACCCAUAUCUGGAAACCUUAGAACUCCCGUGACCAAAGUAAAUCCUACUAUAGAUAAGCCCCACUCCAACUUGCAAGAAACUUGCACCAUAGCCUCUCUGACCUUCCCAAGCCAACUGCCAUCUCUUUUGUAGAACAAACCAUGAACAAGCUUUCGUAACACUCCUCUCCACAGCUACCUUGAGCCACACCCUCUCAACCACUUGCUUCCCCAAAUAAUCGAAACCUAACGCCCUGUUCAUCUCCAGUUCUGCUUCCUGUAACUGGUUUGAAGAGACCAGUUUAGGAGCAAGCCUCAUAAUACACUGACCAAGCCAAUCGAUCCAAAUCCCUAACCAGGUACCCGAGCAAACUCCUACACCAAUUUUCCCAUUAUAUAACCUGAAGUGAUCGCAAAACUCAAGUAAAACUACACCAGUAACCAAAAGUGCUUUGACAUCUUGCUCCAUCGGGUUCAUGCACCUGCCUAUCAAGGUCUUGGAAUAACUCUUAAUCAGGUCAGAGUUAUCGGAGAUCUUCAGUCGUUUUCGGUUUCCUUCGCCAUUCUUCAUAUCACCGCCAUUCCCAAGAAGCUGACUUUGAGUCAUCCUCACCAAAACCAGAAGAAAACAGAUAAGAUUGUUAAACUUUUGCAAGAAUAGAUUGGAAGGUACGAUGCUACACUCAAUACUCUCACGACCUCUUUUAUAUUGGCUCCCGAAACCCACAACCCCACGUAAAGAAUCCAAACCAUGAAUGCAAUAUCCUCCAUCAGUGAUUCAAAAAAUCAAAAUCCCAGAUUCAACAAAACCAGCCAAACUUUCCAAAAAACCACCAAAAAUCAAAUAUAGUAACCCAAUGAUCCCCUCAUCAUAAUGAAUCAAUCGGAUCUGAUUAACGAAAACGUACCUCGAAUAUCUUGUACAAGAUCCUCUGGAUUCCGCAUCCCUUUUGAAGAGUUUGGUGAAUCCCGAAUCCUGCCAGUCCUGACCCGAAUAAACCCUUGCAAAUCCCCAAUUAACCUUUUUUUUCCAAGAUUCCUUUUGGAAUCCAUAUCCUUAUGAUCGUAUCUUUCCGAUAAACACCCGAUCGAGUCCUUGAAUCCCCGGGAAUACCCGGAUCCCAUCCUCGAAACAACAUUGAAAACCCUAGUGUUUUGUCGCCAUCGCCGUCAUGCUUUUCAUUCAUUCACUGAUCACAAAUUUUUAAAUGGGAAACUUUUAACAAUUUUAAUAAUUAAGUUUCAUUUUCAAAAAUUUAAAAUAUAACAUAUAUGGAAACAUUUAAAUAUGAUUAUUUAAUUUAUUUUAAUAAUAUAAAACUAAACAAAAAAAUUAUGAAAGAUAUAAAAAAUUUACCAAAUUUUAUUAUUCAAUCUUGUUAAUUCCAAUAUAUAUUUUUAUCAUAUUAGGUAAUUUUGUAAAUUUUAUUUAAAGAAAGAAAAAAAUAUCAUUUUGUACAUUAAUUAUUAAUUUAUGAUUAGUUUAAUAAAAAAUAUAAUAUAUGUUUAAAUGGACCAAUUUAAUAUUCUAGUGAUUCUACUAAUUAUUUUAGUUUGACACAUGUCAUAAUUAAAAUAUUGUAGUAUUUCGCUUUUAAUAUAUGGGAUGGUUAGUGUAAGAUGUCUUUUUAAAAAAAAUAGCUAAAAAAUGAUGUCCUCGACGAACAUAACUGCCAUUAGCUAAAGGUUCUUUUAUUACUACAAAGCACGAUUUUGGUUCUGGACUGGUCCAUAUACUAUUGUGGAACAUGUCUUGCACUUUCUCUAUCAGCAGAUCUUCCCAUACACUGUUUGAGGUUUAUUUCAGAAAGCAGAAGAAGAGGUUGCAGACGAGUUAAGUGUUUAAGGGAUGAAGGUGGAUGAGCUGGAUUAAUAAGAGUGACGUGGACAAGCAGAAGGAUAUAAGCGUAGUAUAUAAAUACGAGAUAUUAUUUUACAUUUCAUUUUAUGCAAAUCGUAUUAGUGAUAUUUGGGUUGACGAUAUGAAUCAUCC
rnacentral:lncRNA from 1 species